UUUCUCCCUUCUGACGAACCAUGAUGUCAUUUAUUUGGUGUCGUGGGGAAUCAGGACUGUUACUUUGAAAAAAUUAGAGUGUUUAAAGCAGGCUCACGCUUGAAUACAUUAGCAUGGAAUAAUGAAAUAGGACGUUUGAUCCUAUUUUGUUGGUUUCUAGGAUUGACGUAAUGAUUAAUAGGGAUAGUUGGGGGCAUUAGUAUUCAAUUGUCAGAGGUGAAAUUCUUGGAUUUAUUGAAGACUGACUACUGCGAAAGCAUUUGCCAAGGAUGUUUUCAUUAAUCAAGAACGAAAGUUAGGGGAUCGAAGACGAUCAGAUACCGUCGUAGUCUUAACCAUAAACUAUGCCGACUAGGGAUCGGAUGAUGUUAAUUUUUUAAUGACUCAUUCGG
rnacentral:rRNA from 1 species